AGUGAACGCUGGCGGUAGGCCUAACACAUGCAAGUCGAACGGCAGCACAGGAGAGCUUGCUCUCUGGGUGGCGAGUGGCGGACGGGUAAGGAAUACAUCGGAAUCUACUCUGUCGUGGGGGAUAACGUAGGGAAACUUACGCUAAUACCGCAUACGACCUACGGGUGAAAGCAGGGGAUCUUCGGACCUUGCGCGAUUGAAUGAGCCGAUGUCGGAUUAGCUAGUUGGCGGGGUAAAGGCCCACCAAGGCGACGAUCCGUAGCUGGUCUGAGAGGAUGAUCAGCCACACUGGAACUGAGACACGGUCCAGACUCCUACGGGAGGCAGCAGUGGGGAAUAUUGGACAAUGGGCGCAAGCCUGAUCCAGCCAUACCGCGUGGGUGAAGAAGGCCUUCGGGUUGUAAAGCCCUUUUGUUGGGAAAGAAAUCCAGCUGGCUAAUACCCGGUUGGGAUGACGGUACCCAAGGAAUAAGCACCGGCUAACUUCGUGCCAGCAGCCGCAGUAA
rnacentral:rRNA from 1 species